AUUGUGCCUCUCUGUAGGAGGGGAGUCUUUGCUCUCUGGCAAUGCGCUGUGAGCUAAUGCUUGUCCAAAGUGAAUUGCAACAUUCAGACAAAUUGCUGGGCAACUUGGAAAACCCCUUUGGACAUGGCAGCCCAACUCUGUCCCUUCUGCCUGAAAUACUCAGCGUGGGGAGGCAGGAACUCGCAACUCAGGAGAGAAGUGAACUUGGUGUGAACCUCGGUGCUCAGAGCAGAACUGGUAGUUCUGGAUCCGGAAGGCAACUAGACAUCCAGGAAUGGAAAUUCCCCAUUUUUCCUAGGUGAUCUCUUCCAGUGUUCAGCAUUUGAGGCAUCCUGUCUCCUUUGGCUAUGAGGUCAAGAUGGUCACAUCUGCUUCUCCAGGUGGAGCUCCAACUCCAUUAGCUUCUCCCCAGGUGGGUGGAGGAGCACGAAGGUACCUGGUCCUCCUCCUUCCGUCAUGACCCAGCCCUUCCCCUUUCCCUUGCUCAGGGUCCUGGGUCCUCCUCCAGGACAGUCAGGCUGGCUUGGGGAGGAUGAGGAGGGUCACGCUGCAGCAUUUCCCUUUCCAUGUUGGGCAGUUGGUCUGGUUGGUGGUUCAGCUCCAGGAAACGUGUCAUCUGGAUCAGGGCGAUUCUCGGUGUCCCCUCUGCUCCCUGAGCUGCAGAGACACAGGGAAGACUGUGAAGAUUCUGGGGCAGACAGUGCUGGACCUGAUUCCCUGAGAACACCUCUGCCCCAUGCAAGUUUCUGAGAACGCCACCCGGAAGGGUGCGCUUUAGAGCCACAGUGGUUGGGCCAAGCCUUUGGGGCCCAGCUCUGAGAGCCACAGACUCUUCUUCUUGCUCGUCUUGUCUCCACCAGAGCCGCCUUUGCCACAGGAGCAGAGCCACAAACAGAAACGGAGCCAGCAUGGCGGAGACUGGAGCCAGGGCCCAUGAGCCGCUUUCAUCUUCUGGAAAAGCACUGGAAGGAGCCAGGGCCGGAUGGGAAGAACACAGGAGAGGGAGGUUGGAGAUGGACAGGCUGAAGACCGCUGCCCCCCAGCCCUCGCUUGUUUCACAGGUGGAGAAGCCGAGCCAAGUUGGCCACCCUCAGACCACGGCUGUUGGUAGCCCAGCUGGAACUAGAAAUGUCAUCUCGGGCCAGGGAUUUAGCUCAGUGGUUUUGCCGCCUGCUGCGCAGCGCAAUUACCCGAGUUCGAUCCCGGUACCAAAAAAAAGUAGAAAUGUCAUCUCCAGGCUCUGCAGCCCCAGCCCCUGUCCUCCUCCCCCUUCCCGAGUGCUGUGCCCACAGCAAGAAAGAGGACACUGCGGGUCAGGGACUCCGCCUUGGCAUCGGGCUCCACUACCAUCAUUCCUUGUGCUUUCAGUGUUCCUCUCUCUGGACCAUCUGCUCUUUAUCUUAACUUUAAAAAGGUCUGGAAUGUUCCAGCCUAAAACUGUGAUCAUUCUGUCAUUUAUAUUGCGCUUGCAAACUCCAUGGGAAUACGUAGGUAGCCUCCUCCCAGGGUGCACAGCACCGGUGUCUGACGUUCAUCCCUGCCCUUUACGUCCUGCAGGCACGAAGGGCCAGAACUGAGCAGAGGGAAGGGAGGUGCGGGGACCAGAGCAGAGCCUGGGCCUCACCUCUUCUCGGAGGACUCCUUGCCAGGGGGUCUCUGGGGUCGCGCUGCUGGGCCCUGACUCGUCGUUGCUUGGGGACCCUGGUCUCCAGCAGCGCUGCUGAGCUCCGCCUCGGUGCUUCCUUCCACAGAUGCUGUCUCUCUGCGGGUGGUGUCCAAGGUCCAUGGACCUGCAGCCGGGGUUGCUCCUUCAGCGGAGACCAGCGCUUGUUGCUUAGAGACCAUAGUUGCUUCUGGUAGAGUUUCCCAGGCCUGGGCUGGUGGCGAAGUGGUUUCUGUGCUCUUCCUGGCUGCAUCCACAGCUGUCUCAGUGGUCUCUGUUUGCUCCCCUGGCUUACUGGCCUCAGUAGUUGUCACCUCUUUUCCACCCUCACUGACCCCAGUCCCCUCUGUUACCAUGCUCCCAGUGCCCCAUCCCCAGACAUCCUCUGUUGUAGUGGACACGCCUCUGAGUUUGGAAACUGGACUCUGUGGGACGGGGACGGUUGCCUCAGUGGAACCUUCUGCACCCCUAUCUGUCCCCAAAGCUACUGCCCUGACUGUCCCUGGGGUUUGUCUUCUCUUAGCUGAAGCUGUGGUUCUCCUGGUUUCUGUAGUUGGGACAACUCUGUCCCACUUCGUCCUCUGUCCUUCCAGAGUCUGGGUAGAUCCUGAAGUCCAUCUAUCGGCUGCUGGCGAUGCCGUCCUGAAGGAUGCUGUGAGGAAUGCGUCAGCAGCUGCAGGGGCUGUAGGGAUGGUGCUGGAAGAACCUGUGGGAAUGCCAGAGGAGAGCACAGGGAGAGGCUACCCAGGCUGCCCAGUGGAUUUAGCAAAGGGCACUGGGUUUAAAAUGUUUGUUAAACAGGCCGCACCCUCACUAAGAGGUGCAGUGUUUGGCCGAUAUGUUGGGAUACAACAGCAAGGUAAGGAUCCUGGAUAUAUUCAGAAUUAUUCUCUCGUCUCCUAUAUUUUCCCAUCUCAUGGAUAUAUAUAGAUAUUCUCUCAUCUCAUGCAAAUACUGAUAUCUUAUACUCCUAUGGCCUUCUCCCAGGCCCACGUAGUCUCCAUCCCGCUGCCCCAGGUCCCCGUGCGUCUGCUUUCUCCAGAGGCCUCAGCCUAUCAGGGUCUCCUCUUGAGAGAAAGGAAGAGAAGCACUGCAGUUCCCAAACAGCAGCCAGCAGUGGCAGCAGGGACAGAAGCAUCCAAUAAAGCCCAACUGCUCUCCUAGCUGGCGGUCCUGAUGGACUGUGGCUUCCAAAGCCUGGUGUCCCUGCUUGUACUCUGGGUGCCUGCUCUGGACCAACCCUCCAGAACCUGUCCCCAGGGCCUGGGCCUAGGGGCUGCCUGCUGUCUGCAGAGGGGCCGAGGAAGGGUCUGUCAGGGAAGAGGUUGUCCCGGCUCUUUUCUGUCUGUCAGGCUGCUCUGCAGUGCUACCCCUGAUCUGUAUGCCACAAUAUGUUGCCCUCAGGACCCUAAGAUGCCAUAUGAUCCAAUUUACUACCUUCCUGGAACAAUCUCCAAAUAUAUAUUCCACAACAUCCAGGGUAUGGCCAUUCGGGUGGAGUGUCAACUUGAUUGGCUUUGGAAUCUUCCCAGGGAUCAGUGGAGCUCACAUCUGGGUGUGUCUGGGUGAUCAUGGAGGUGCGAUCUUGGAGUCUGAGUCUGGUCCCUCAUCCCUUCCUCUCUGGCACUGCUUCCCUGCUCUGCUUCCCAGUCACCACGAGCUAAGCAUUUUGGCCCUGCCGUGCCCUUCUGCCUUGAUGUUUCUGCCUUGGAGCUGGCUUGCCAUGGACUGAAUCCUCAGAAAUCAUGAGCCAAAUUAAACCUCUCCUCCUUUACGUUGUGAGUGCCAAGUAUUGUGCGCCAGCAACAGGAAGCUGACUGAUUAGCCGGUGUUGGGAGAGUUGGGUGGGGGAAUUUGGGUGCACUCAGUUGUUUUUUCCUAAUACCUCCCUUCUUUCUGGAAAUUGCCUCCCAUGAGGAAAGGCUGCCUCUUAGAGCCAUUGCCCUGGCCCAGCCUUUCAGCUCACUCCUCCAAGGCCUAAAGCUUUCCUGGCCCUGCAAACUUUCUCUUGCCACCACUGCUUCCUAGCUUGAGCUUCUCCAAGCACAGCCCAUUGGCCAUCAGCUCUCACCUGCAGAGACAGUCAGAUUCACGCUGGAGAACAGCCUGUUGUUGCUGUCCCCAAUGCCGCAGCGGUAGUGUCCCCCGUCUUCCAUGGACAGUUGGGACAGCCUCACCACAAACAAGCUGCUCUGUGGGAAGUCUGCUAGAGCUGCACGGCCACGGUAGUCACGGUGGGUGUAGUGGUUGGUGGACACGAUAGUGUGGCAGGUCCACAUUGGAGGCCCCACGCGGCACCAGUACUUCCUCUGGUGCCUGUUGAUGGACAGGGGGGCGUAAUGGCACUGGAUGGUCACAGCUCCUCCAAGCUCUCCAGACACCAGCCUUGGGCUGUUCAGUGUACUUGCAGCUGCAAAUGGAGAGAACAGCUGACGGCGACAGAGGGGUGGGUGUCCUCACCAUUGGGGAGUUACAAGGCAAACUCUGCUAGCUCUAAGGGUCAGGACAGAAGACAGGACUGUGAAAGUGGAGUAGAAUUAACAUAGAAAUGGCAGAGCUGAGGCGUGGAGGAAGCAGGAGCUGCCCCAAGAUACGGACUGGAGCAGGGUGCAAGGCUCCAUGUACAACAUGAAAACGCAGUGAGAAUCUUGCCCACUUUUUUCCCCCAGCACUGAGAUUGAACCCAGGGCCCUGCGUCAAGAGCACUCUCCCACUCUACACCCUCCCCCAUUUCGCUGAAGCAUAAUUUUGAGUGGGGUUUUCCUAACACAAAGUUUGUUUUUGCUCACAAACCCGUGAUCCUCUAGCCUCAGCUUCUCGAUUAGCUGGGCUUUCCGGUGUGUGCCACCACCCCUCAUCCCCACACACUACAUUGCUAAUACUUAUCGUGUGCAGAUCAUGGGUUGAUCCCACUGUGCGUCAGUGCAGAUGCCAUCGUCGCUCCCAUGAGAGGGCGGAAGCAACCUCUGGUUUGCAUGGCAUUUAAAAGACAGAUGCUGAGCGAGGUGAACAUGUCGGUGUGCUUUUCCUCCGAACCAAAGAAUCCUGCUCUGCCUGCCUGAUCUAGGAUGUAUAUACCCCUAGACCAGUAGCUGCAAAGUUUUUCACACUGACCACUUUUCUAGAGACAUGGAAACAACCGAGGCAGAUGGACACCUGCUUUGGCAACAGCCCCAAAGACAACUCACACUGGAGCCGCAGAGCGUGGUCAGCUUACAGAAUGACUGCAGUCUGCUAUAGUGCAAACCGAAAAAAGCUCAUUCUCUUUCCCACUGCCUCUUCACAACUUUGUCUGCUCCUCGGAGAAAUCACAGGUGCAGUCUCAUGUCUAGUAGCUUUUACUGUCUGUCCUAGAUAGGAAAGUCCAGUCUAGUAUAAAAUUAUACACCUGGCUCAGUCAGAGGAGAGUGCACUGCAGUCGCUCACUCAGUGGGGCCUUUCUUCUUUUGGCGGCCACCUGGGGAAGGAGUGGCAGGUUGGGUCCUGUGCUGUACUUUCCCCUCCUCUACUCAAAGCUGCAGUUUGGGGCCCCUCCAGGACCGGGCACGGAGAAGAGCAAGGAGGUAAAUAGAUAGUUAUAAUCUGCCCUUGGUGUUCUCUGGCAUGGCCAAGAUGUCCUCUUUCUGGGCCCCAAAGGCUUUCUUGGUGGCUUCUAGCCCACUGGCCCUCUGUUAGUGGUCACGAUCCCCUCUGGGUGCCCAUGAGGUGGAGGCCCCACAUGUGGCCACAGGUGCCACACCCUUAUCCUGCUAUUAGAAGAAACCUGGGACACAUGACAAACUUGGGUGGUUCUCUAGAAGCUCCUUCUCUUAUUUGGCCUAAUGUGAGAGGGAGUGAUCCCUCUGGGCCCCAGGGCAGGAGGAAGGGGACCGAACAGCUGAUAGCUCCCCCUCCAGUGGUCUCAUGGGAGCUCUCUGCCUCUAAGGAGCCAUAUGUAAUGGCCCAGGUGGCUGCACGAUGGGCCAGCACUGGGACUAGCUUUACAGUCUCAGUCUGCAGUCCUACAAAUUGGUUCCCCAUCUUGCUUUAGGGUGUGGGUGCCUCAUGAUUGGCUCUUGGCCCCUAGCUCUCUGUACCCAAGAAUGUUCUGUUUAACACCGCAUUGCUGGGCUGCUAAUUUGUGAGUCUCGGUGCAAGAUCUGCAAAUGACAAGUACAAGUGAAAAUGGGAGACUCCUUGUCCAAAGUUUCUGAAGAAUUUUAUGCAGCCUCACCAGAGAAUGAGUCAAGCACUGUUGGAGAGCAGCACCUUGUGUGAUCUGUGCAUUCUGUGUGUCCUGAGGUCUAAUGACAGGAAAAUUAAGGUCGGGCAUGCUAUGGGUGUAUGCAUGCUCACUCUAGAUUUAAUUAAACAGCAUCCCCCAAUCCACGCAACUGAUAAUCAAGUUGAACAGUGAUGUAUUAAUAAAGGGUAAGAAUGUUUACUAUCACAAUGGGCCAUCUGAAGGCAGCAGCGGUGACGCCCCAAUAAAAUGCUUAUAGCCAGGUUUUAGGAGUCCCUGCGCUGUACAUAUGUCACAUGUCAGAUGAGUACAGAUUCAUUGAUCUCCAGCACUAGGCAGUCUGACUUCACAGUAGAAAGAUGGCUAAGAAUUCUUCUUGCAAUGCAUAUCAUUUUUAUUAACAUCAAAGUUAAC
ensembl:lncRNA